rnacentral:sRNA from 1 species
AAGCCUCUUCUUGCGGUUGGCAAUGUAUCCAAGGAGGUCAACUGAAACGAAUUUAAUAGUCAAGGAAAUCUUAUGAAACUUGCUUUCCUCCUGACGUCCGGCGUCUCCAAGAGCUCCCUUUCCCAAAGCUGCAAGCCUCUCUCCUUCUCGUAUCUGGUGUCAUGUCUGGCUGCAGUUUUCAUGUGUACGUCAUCGGGCUGGUAUGCACCGCCUCGCUGGGCGGCAUAGGAAUUGAGAGGAUUGGAUUGUUUUUGAGCAACAGCUGGAGCGGAUGAAGCUGCCUGAUUAUGCUGGGGGAUGCUGGCUAGUUGCUUAAGCAUGGCGGGGUUGACGGUGUUUUUCAUUGUUACCAUGUGCACGUCCUCAGAAUCGCGGGGAUAAACCGGCUUUUCCUCGCGUUGAGCAACAAUUUCCGGACAAUGGCGUCGUGGGAGCGCCAGCUUGAUUCUGAGAAAAGAGGAAAGAAAGAUAGUUGGAUCGCUCAUUGUUCUGCUGAGAAGGGGAAGGAGGGACAGCAGGCAAGUUUUCUUUGGAGCCAGUCGGAAAGAAAGAGGAGCGCGAGGAGGGAGUGGAAGGGACUGGGAUCUUUGAGGGAGAAGGUGCAGCCGUGGACUGGGACUUUGUAUGACCGGAUCGAGACGACUUCGUUGGCGAUGCGGGCGCCUGAGACGACGGCUGUUGCUGAGAGUUUGUGGACUUGAGUACUCGUGAGAACAUGAUUCAGGUGUUCAAUAGGAGCGGGCAGGCGGGUUUGGAGAGAUGAGAAGAAGUUGUGAGAAAGAGAUGAUUGUAUGAAAGAGUUGAGUGA